UGAGCAACAGGGAUAAUCACAUAAGUCACCAAGAUGGACGGAAUUGUGGGGAUUGACAUGUGCGUGAAUCCUGCUCCUCUGCUUCUAACUGCGUGAAUGUAGAUGAGGAGACUGGGACUGAAGAAGGCUCGUGUCACAGAGCAGGAGGGCUGGCAGAGGAACUUGAAGGGAUUCAUCCCUAGCAUUGGCUGUGAGAUCCUGGUCGACCUCCUGGAGUCUACAGAACUGCAGUGGGUCCCUCAUGACUGGGCCCUCCUGGAGUUUUGGCCUCUCAGAUGUGUCCACAUGGAGCCUCCAGCAAUUCAUCAAUUACAGGCCAGGAUUUCCUCCUCGGCACUGAACCCCGUGGUGGUUUCUACGCAUGGGUCUCCUCUCUGGUAAGCUGUGACUCCCUACAGUCUCCUCUCUCUCUCUCUCUCUCUAAUCUUA